rnacentral:tRNA from 1 species
GGGGAAUUAGCUCAGCUGGGAGAGCGCCUGGUUUGCAACCAGGAGGUCACCGGUUCGAGCCCGGUAUUC